rnacentral:rRNA from 1 species
GGGUUGUGAGGUUAAGCGACUAAGCGUACACGGUGGAUGCCCUGGCAGUCAGAGGCGAUGAAGGACGUGCUAAUCUGCGAAAAGCGUCGGUAAGGUGAUAUGAACCGUUAUAACCGGCGAUGUCCGAAUGGGGAAACCCAGUGCAAUUCGUUGCACUAUCGUUAACUGAAUACAUAGGUUAACGAGGCGAACCGGGGGAACUGAAACAUCUAAGUACCCCGAGGAAAAGAAAUCAACCGAGAUUCCCCCAGUAGCGGCGAGCGAACGGGGAGCAGCCCAGAGUCUGAAUCAGCUUGUGUGUUAGUGGAACGGUCUGGAAAGUCCGACGGUACAGGGUGAUAGUCCCGUACACCAAAAUGCACAGGUUGUGAACUCGAAGAGUAGGGCGGGACACGUGGUAUCCUGUCUGAAUAUGGGGGGACCAUCCUCCAAGGCUAAAUACUCCUGACUGACCGAUAGUGAACCAGUACCGUGAGGGAAAGGCGAAAAGAACCCCGGCGAGGGGAGUGAAAAAGAACCUGAAACCGUGUACGUACAAGCAGUGGGAGCACCUUCGGGUGUGACUGCGUACCUUUUGUAUAAUGGGUCAGCGACUUAUAUUCUGUAGCAAGGUUAACCGUAUAGGGGAGCCGCAGGGAAACCGAGUCUUAACUGGGCGUUAAGUUGCAGGGUAUAGACCCGAAACCCGGUGAUCUAGCCAUGGGCAGGUUGAAGGUUGGGUAACACUAACUGGAGGACCGAACCGACUAAUGUUGAAAAAUUAGCGGAUGACUUGUGGCUGGGGGUGAAAGGCCAAUCAAACCGGGAGAUAGCUGGUUCUCCCCGAAAGCUAUUUAGGUAGCGCCUCGUGAACUCAUCUUCGGGGGUAGAGCACUGUUUCGGCUAGGGGGUCAUCCCGACUUACCAACCCGAUGCAAACUACGAAUACCGAAGAAUGUUAUCACGGGAGACACACGGCGGGUGCUAACGUCCGUCGUGAAGAGGGAAACAACCCAGACCGCCAGCUAAGGUCCCAAAGUCAUGGUUAAGUGGGAAACGAUGUGGGAAGGCACAGACAGCCAGGAUGUUGGCUUAGAAGCAGCCAUCAUUUAAAGAAAGCGUAAUAGCUCACUGGUCGAGUCGGCCUGCGCGGAAGAUGUAACGGGGCUAAACCAUGCACCGAAGCUGCGGCAGCGACACUAUGUGUUGUUGGGUAGGGGAGCGUUCUGUAAGCCUGCGAAGGUGUGCUGUGAGGCAUGCUGGAGGUAUCAGAAGUGCGAAUGCUGACAUAAGUAACGAUAAAGCGGGUGAAAAGCCCGCUCGCCGGAAGACCAAGGGUUCCUGUCCAACGUUAAUCGGGGCAGGGUGAGUCGACCCCUAAGGCGAGGCCGAAAGGCGUAGUCGAUGGGAAACAGGUUAAUAUUCCUGUACUUGGUGUUACUGCGAAGGGGGGACGGAGAAGGCUAUGUUAGCCGGGCGACGGUUGUCCCGGUUUAAGCAUGUAGGCUGAUUAUCCAGGCAAAUCCGGAUAAUCAAGGCUGAGGUGUGAUGACGAGGCACUACGGUGCUGAAGUAACAAAUGCCCUGCUUCCAGGAAAAGCCUCUAAGCAUCAGGUAACAUCAAAUCGUACCCCAAACCGACACAGGUGGUCAGGUAGAGAAUACCAAGGCGCUUGAGAGAACUCGGGUGAAGGAACUAGGCAAAAUGGUGCCGUAACUUCGGGAGAAGGCACGCUGGUGUGUAGGUGAAGCCCCUGCGGGUGGAGCUGAGACCAGUCGAAGAUACCAGCUGGCUGCAACUGUUUAUUAAAAACACAGCACUGUGCAAACACGAAAGUGGACGUAUACGGUGUGACGCCUGCCCGGUGCCGGAAGGUUAAUUGAUGGGGUUAUCCGUAAGGAGAAGCUCUUGAUCGAAGCCCCGGUAAACGGCGGCCGUAACUAUAACGGUCCUAAGGUAGCGAAAUUCCUUGUCGGGUAAGUUCCGACCUGCACGAAUGGCGUAAUGAUGGCCAGGCUGUCUCCACCCGAGACUCAGUGAAAUUGAACUCGCUGUGAAGAUGCAGUGUACCCGCGGCAAGACGGAAAGACCCCGUGAACCUUUACUAUAGCUUGACACUGAACAUUGAGCCUUGAUGUGUAGGAUAGGUGGGAGGCUUUGAAGCGUGGACGCCAGUCUGCGUGGAGCCAACCUUGAAAUACCACCCUUUAAUGUUUGAUGUUCUAACGUUGGCCCCUUACCGGGGUUGCGGACAGUGUCUGGUGGGUAGUUUGACUGGGGCGGUCUCCUCCCAAAGCGUAACGGAGGAGCACGAAGGUUAGCUAAUCCUGGUCGGACAUCAGGAGGUUAGUGCAAUGGCAUAAGCUAGCUUGACUGCGAGCGUGACGGCGCGAGCAGGUGCGAAAGCAGGUCAUAGUGAUCCGGUGGUUCUGAAUGGAAGGGCCAUCGCUCAACGGAUAAAAGGUACUCCGGGGAUAACAGGCUGAUACCGCCCAAGAGUUCAUAUCGACGGCGGUGUUUGGCACCUCGAUGUCGGCUCAUCACAUCCUGGGGCUGAAGUAGGUCCCAAGGGUAUGGCUGUUCGCCAUUUAAAGUGGUACGCGAGCUGGGUUUAGAACGUCGUGAGACAGUUCGGUCCCUAUCUGCCGUGGGCGCUGGAGAAUUGAGGGGGGCUGCUCCUAGUACGAGAGGACCGGAGUGGACGCAUCACUGGUGUUCGGGUUGUCAUGCCAAUGGCACUGCCCGGUAGCUAAAUGCGGAAGAGAUAAGUGCUGAAAGCAUCUAAGCACGAAACUUGCCCCGAGAUGAGUUCUCCCUGAGACUUUAAGUCUCCUGAAGGAACGUUGAAGACGACGACGUUGAUAGGCCGGGUGUGUAAGCGCAGCGAUGCGUUGAGCUAACCGGUACUAAUGAACCGUGAGGCUUAACCUUACAACGCCGAAG